CUUAGUUCCUCCGGAUUCCGGCGGCCACUGUAAAUUACCCAAAAUAAAUAAAUAAAAACGGAGAGAGCCAAAAAUUAGGUGAAGAAAAAGAAAAGAAAAAGGAAAGAAAAUAAGAAAGAAAAGAAUAUUUCGCUGACAACAUAAAACUACAGCUCACAGGUCAUCGACGCAAAAAGUCCACUUCCCCCUCUCGCUCUCGCUCUCUCUCUCUCUCUCUCUCUCUCACGCUUUGUCUUGCAAGACAACCGUGCGAACAUUUCCCGAUGAAAACCGGCGAUUACCGGCGGUGACACUUUCGCGUUUGCGUUGUGUUCAUGGCCGAGAACGACGUCGUAUCCCGAACCUUCCACGCGUUGGUGGAGAGCGCGGACCGGAAGUUCGCCCGAGUUCGUGACCUCGCGCCGUACGGACGAGCUCAGAGCCACUAUUUCCACAAAGUAUUCAAGGCCUACAUGCGCCUCUGGAAGUACCAGCAGGAGAAUAGGUCCAAGCUGGUCGAGUCUGGCCUUAACCGCUGGGAAAUCGGCGAGAUCGCGAGCCGGAUCGGCCAGCUCUACUUCGGCCAGUACAUGAGGACCAGCGAGGCGCGGUUCCUGGUCGAGGCGUAUGUAUUUUACGAAGCGAUUUUGAAUAGGAGGUACUUUGAGGCGGCAAAAGUGAAGGAUCUCGGCGUUCGAUUCAAGGAGUUGAGAUUCUACGCGAGGUUUUUGCUUGUUUCGUUGAUUCUGUGCCGUAUCGACAUGGUUAAUGUCUUAACUGAGAAGUUUAGGGCUCUUGUUGAUGAUAGCAGGGCAUCUUUUCGGGAAACUAACUUCAAAGAAUGGAACCUAGUUGUUCAAGAAAUUGUUCGUUUUACAGAAGUUGGUGCAUCCAUGAAGAAUAUCAGGCCUUUGCGGUACUCUGCUAUGUUUGAUUCUCAUCCCACGUCUCAACCAUAUGUAGCUCGACUCCAUGCAAAGAAGGUUCUAAAAUUUCAAGAUGCGCUUUUGACAAGUUAUCAUCGGAAUGAGGUUAAAUUUGCUGAACUCACUUUGGACACAUACAGAAUGCUACAGUGUUUGGAAUGGGAGCCAAGUGGUUCUUUUUACCAGAAGCAUCCUGUUGAACCGAAGGAGAAUGGUGUUGUGAUUGAUCAUUCUGGAGCUUCUGGGCUAAUAGAUAUAAACUUGGCUGCUGAUUUGACUGAUCCAACAUUACGACCUAAUCCUAAGAAAGCUGUCCUCUAUCAUCCAUCUGUCACGCAUAUACUAGCAGUUCUUGCAACAAUCUGUGAGGAACUCCCACCAGAGAGUGUCAUGCUAAUAUAUUUAUCUGCGUCAGGGAAGGUAGGUCGUGGCAAUAUCCCUCAGGUGGAAGCCUCUGAAGGAUCAAAGAGAUCCUCAAGAAGCAAGGAGUCUUCACACAUUUCCAUGGAACAUAAUAACUCUGCGCCUCAUUCUCACAUGAAUGGCAAAGUAUUUUCCACUGAUUACUAUGGCGAUUACCUAUGGUUUGGUUCCAAAGGAAAUGGGGGUUUAAAUAACCUUUACCCUGGUGAUCUGAUUCCUUUUACACGAAGACCUCUUUUCCUGAUCAUUGAUAGUGACAACAGCCAUGCAUUCAAGGCAGGUCUUACAUGGUGCAGAAAGGGGAGAGACAGCUGCCUUGCUUUUGUCACCCUUGAGGCCAACAUUCAAAGGCCACCGAUCUGUUAUUGAUGUAACAGAGAAUGGAAGUCAGUUUACCUUUUUCUUAACUGCCCCUCUACAAGCAUUCUGCCUGAUGGUUGACCUCUCUGUGCAUAAUAUUGAUUCAGAGGUUUAUGAAGAUGCCGAGAACAUACUUUCUACUGCUUUCUCUGAGUGCGAAGUGAUUCUGUGCACAUCCAAAACUUUGGAUCUGGUUUGGGCUCAAGUGUUAUCUGACCCUUUCUUGAGGAGGCUUCUUCUUAGAUUCAUAUUCUGCCGGUGUGUGCUUUCUGUCUUCUGUCACUCAGAAGAUAGUGACCAGUACCUGCCCAUUUGCCUUCCCGAUCUUCCCGAGUGUGUGUCUCCCUACUCAGAAGUUAUACAGUCUUCUGUUCACCGGCUAGCAAAUCACCUGGAAGUUGCUCACUGUUUCCGCUUUAAUCACACCGAGUAGGUCCUUACAAUGCAGAGGAGAAACCUUGAAAAUAGAGGUGUAGCCACCUGAUACCAAGCCUUGUGGAUUUAAUCUAAUGGUAACUCUUGGAAAUCUACUAGUUGGCUAUUCUGGGCACUUCAGGUGAAAUCAUCUGGUGAUGGGGAAGCUUUGGCGCGGUUGUUUAUUCUUCUUUUAUUGCUCCCAUGCAACCUCGCAGAUUUUAGGUUGCAUGUUGAAACCAUAUGGUGAGUUGGUGCUCUUUUUAGGUCGAUGUUUCAUAGUUUGCAGGUGUGUUCUUUUUCUUUUUCUUUUUUGAAUUGCACCUUAAUUCAUAGGCCUCAUAGUUGUAUAAGUUUUCUCUGUCACGCUUUUUAGAUCUCUGUAUUCAAUCAGUGCUAAUUUGUUUAGCUGUAACUUUGUAAAAGAAAAUGGGGUAGUCAGGUCGAGAUAUUCCUGUAUUCUUUUCUUUCUUUUUUUUUUUUUUUUUUUUUGGUUUUUCUCUUGGCGGUUUGGUUGCGUAUACUUGAAGCUUCCUGAAAAGGCAACAUGUAAAGGAGUAUUAGUAGUAAAUCGAGGAAUGCUGUUUUAAGUAGGUGUCCUUUGUUCCCUCCUAUUAGUACUUGCUUUUAUAUUCGUAAUAUAGGGAUUUCAUUUGUGUCU